UACGGGGGGUGCGAGCGUUGUCCGGAAUCACUGGGCGUAAAGGGCGCGUAGGUGGUUUGAUAAGGGUGUGGUGAAAGUCCGGGGCUCAACCCCGGAUCUGCCGUGCCGACUGUCAAACUCGAGGGCUGUAGAGGCAGACGGAAUUCCGGGUGUAGCGGUGGAAUGCGUAGAGAUCCGGAGGAACACCGGUGGCGAAGGCGGUUCUCUGGGCAUUACCUGACGCUGAGGAGCGAAAGUGUGGGGAGCGAACAGG
rnacentral:rRNA from 1 species